rnacentral:rRNA from 1 species
CACGUAGGGUGCGAGCGUUGUCCGGAAUUAUUGGGCGUAAAGAGCUCGUAGGCGGUGUGUCGCGUCGGCCGUGAAAACCUGCAGCUUAACUGUGGGCUUGCGGUCGAUACGGGCAUCACUGGAGUUCGGCAGGGGAGACUGGAAUUCCUGGUGUAGCGGUGAAAUGCGCAGAUAACAGGAGGAACACCGGUGGCGAAGGCGGGUCUCUGGGCCGAUACUGACGCUGAGGAGCGAAAGCGUGGGGAGCAAACAGG